AGGAUUAUAGUUAAGCAUAACAUUUGGGUUGCAUCCAAAAAGUAUUGAUAUCAUCAAUUAAUCUUA
rnacentral:tRNA from 1 species